rnacentral:tRNA from 1 species
GGACAGGUGUCCGAGUGGCUUAAGGAGCACGCUUGGAAAGCGUGUGUACGUUUUUGCGUACCGUGGGUUCGAAUCCCACCCUGUCCG